CAGUAGCCGCGGUAAUACGGAGGGGGCUAGCGUUAUUCGGAAUUACUGGGCGUAAAGCGCACGUAGGCGGAUCAGAAAGUCAGAGGUGAAAUCCCAGGGCUCAACCUUGGAACUGCCUUUGAAACUCCUGAUCUUGAGGUUGAGAGAGGUGAGUGGAAUUCCGAGUGUAGAGGUGAAAUUCGUAGAUAUUCGGAGGAACACCAGUGGCGAAGGCGGCUCACUGGCUCGAUACUGACGCUGAGGUGCGAAAGCGUGGGGAGCAAAUGGGAUUAGAUACCCCUGUAGUCCCUGUCUCUUAUAC
rnacentral:rRNA from 1 species